UGCCAGCAGCCGCGGUAAUACAGAGGGUGCAAACGUUGUUCGGAAUUACUGGGCGUAAAGGGUUCGUAGGCGGAAAUUGCGCGUCUUUUGUUAAAUCUUAGGGCUCAACCUUAAGCCAGCAGAAGAUACGGCAUUUCUAGAGGAAGGCAGAGAUAGACGGAACUCCUGGUGAAGCAGUGAAAUGCGUUGAUAUCAGGGGGAACACCAAUUGCGAAGGCAGUCUAUUGGGCCUUUCCUGACGCUGAGGAACGAAAGCGUGGGGAGCAAACAGGAUUAGAUA
rnacentral:rRNA from 1 species